CGUCGAGCUACUACGGUAGUGAAGUCAUUGAUGCCAUGCUUCCAGGAAAAGCCUCUAAGCUUCAGAUUGUAAGGAAUCGUACCCCAAACCGACACAGGUGGUCGGGUAGAGAAUACCAAGGCGCUUGAGAGAACUCGGGUGAAGGAACUAGGCAAAAUGGUACCGUAACUUCGGGAGAAGGUACGCUCUUGAUGGUGAAGUCCCUUGCGGAUGGAGCUGACGAGAGUCGCAGAUACCAGGUGGCUGCAACUGUUUAUUAAAAACACAGCACUGUGCAAAAUCGUAAGAUGACGUAUACGGUGUGACGCCUGCCCGGUGCCGGAAGGUUAAUUGAUGGGGUUAGCGUAAGCGAAGCUCUUGAUCGAAGCCCCGGUAAACGGCGGCCGUAACUAUAACGGUCCUAAGGUAGCGAAAUUCCUUGUCGGGUAAGUUCCGACCUGCACGAAUGGCGUAAUGAUGGCCACGCUGUCUCCACCCGAGACUCAGUGAAAUUGAAAUCGCUGUGAAGAUGCAGUGUACCCGCGGCUAGACGGAAAGACCCCGUGAACCUUUACUACAGCUUGGCACUGAACAUUGAACCUACAUGUGUAGGAUAGGUGGGAGGCUUUGAAGACGUGACGCCAGUUGCGUUGGAGCCGUCCUUGAAAUACCACCCUUGUAUGUUUGAUGUUCUAACGUUGGCCCCUAAUCGGGGUUGCGGACAGUGCCUGGUGGGUAGUUUGACUGGGGCGGUCUCCUCCCAAAGAGUAACGGAGGAGCACGAAGGUGGGCUAAUCACGGUUGGACAUCGUGAGGUUAGUGCAAUGGCAUAAGCCCGCUUAACUGCGAGAAUGACGGUUCGAGCAGGUGCGAAAGCAGGUCAUAGUGAUCCGGUGGUUCUGAAUGGAAGGGCCAUCGCUCAACGGAUAAAAGGUACUCCGGGGAUAACAGGCUGAUACCGCCCAAGAGUUCAUAUCGACGGCGGUGUUUGGCACCUCGAUGUCGGCUCAUCACAUCCUGGGGCUGAAGUCGGUCCCAAGGGUAUGGCUGUUCGCCAUUUAAAGUGGUACGCGAGCUGGGUUUAGAACGUCGUGAGACAGUUCGGUCCCUAUCUGCCGUGGGCGUUGGAAGAUUGAAGGGGGCUGCUCCUAGUACGAGAGGACCGGAGUGGACGAACCUCUGGUGUUCGGGUUGUGUCGCCAGACGCAUUGCCCGGUAGCUAAGUUCGGAAUCGAUAACCGCUGAAAGCAUCUAAGCGGGAAGCGAGCCCUGAGAUGAGUCUUCCCUGAUACUUUAAGUAUCCUGAAGGGUUGUUCGAGACUAGAACGUUGAUAGGCAGGGUGUGUAAGCGCUGUGAGGCGUUGAGCUAACCUGUACUAAUUGCCCGUGAG
rnacentral:rRNA from 1 species